UGAGUACGAGAUGCUACGGCAUCGAAGCAGUCUAUGUCAUACUUCCAAGAAAAGCUUGCACUGUCAGAAACAGAUAAUGCCUGUACCAUAACCGACACAGGUGGGUAGGUAGAGUAUACUAAGGGGCGCGAGAUAACUCUCUCUAAGGAACUCGGCAAAAUGACUCCGUAACUUCGGGAGAAGGAGUGCCUUAUUUUUAAGGUUGCAAUAACAAGAUCCAAGCAACUGUUUACCAAAAACACAGGUCUCCGCUAAGUCGUAAGACGAUGUAUGGGGGCUGACGCCUGCCCAGUGCCAGAAGGUUAAAGAAGUCGGUUAGCAUUCGCGAAGCUGGUAACUGAAGCCCUGGUGAACGGCGGCCGUAACAAUAACGGUCCUAAGGUAGCGAAAUUCCUUGUCGGGUAAGUUCCGACCCGCACGAAAGGCGUAAUGAUUUGGAUACUGUCUCGGAGAGGGGCUCGGUGAAAUAGACUCGUCUGUGAAGAUGCGGACUACCUGCACCUGGACAGAAAGACCCUAUGAAGCUUUACUGUAACUUGAAAUUGAAAUUGGACUUUAUUUGCGCAGUAUAGGUGGGAGGCGUUGAAAAUAUUCUUGCGGGAAUAUUGGAGCCAUCAGUGAGAUACCACUCUUGUAAUGUUAGAUUUCUAACUUUAUAUCAUUAUCUGGUUGAAGAACAGUUUCAGGCGGGCAGUUUGACUGGGGCGGUCGCCUCCCAAAUGGUAUCGGAGGCGCACAAAGGUUUCCUCUGAACGGGUAGAAAUCGUAUCUAGAGUGUAAAGGCAUAAGGAAGCUUGACUGUGAGACCUACAAGUCGAGCAGGGACGAAAGUCGGUCUUAGUGAUCUGACGGUGCUGAGUGGAAAGGCCGUCACUCAACGGAUAAAAGUUACUCUAAGGAUAACAGGCUGAUCUCCCCCAAGAGUUCACAUCGACGGGGAGGUUUGGCACCUCGAUGUCGGCUCAUCGCAUCCUGGGGCGGUAGUACGUCCCAAGGGUUGGGCUGUUCGCCCAUGAAAGCGGUACGCGAGCUGGGUUCAGAACGUCGUGAGACAGUUCGGUCCAUAUCCGGUGUAGGCGUUAGAAUAUUGAGAGGAGCCUUCUUUAGUACGAGAGGACCGAGAAGGACAUACCUCUGGUGUACCAGUUAUCGUGCCAACGGUAAACGCUGGGUAGCUAUGUAUGGAGUGGAUAACCGCUGAAAGCAUCUAAGUGGGAAGCCCACCUCAAGAUAAGUAUUCUCAU
rnacentral:rRNA from 1 species